GUUAAAAGAGCAUACAAGGCAUUGCUUACCAGAUCUUUAGCAGCUUGUUGAACAACAGAACAACUAAAAUAGCAAAUUAACCUAACAUGUGAGUGUGAUACAUGAUUUAUCACCAUCUUUUCCGUCUCUCUGAUUGCUUAACAUGGUUUUGAAUUUUAAGAGGAUGUUUGGAUGGACUUAUUCUAAGUAGUUUUAGGCUUUUAAGCUCUUCUUUAUUUUUGGAGGUGUUCGGGAAAGAAGAAGUGCUUUUAACCACUUUCUUUUAGGCUGAAAAAGCACAAAAACAAGCU
rnacentral:misc_RNA from 1 species